CGCACAGCGAAAGGUGCUUGCACCUUUCAAGUGAGUGGCGAACGGGUGAGUAACACGUGGACAACCUGCCUCAAGGCUGGGGAUAACAUUUGGAAACAGAUGCUAAUACCGAAUAAAACUUAGUGUCGCAUGACAAAAAGUUAAAAGGCGCUUCGGCGUCACCUAGAGAUGGAUCCGCGGUGCAUUAGUUAGUUGGUGGGGUAAAGGCCUACCAAGACAAUGAUGCAUAGCCGAGUUGAGAGACUGAUCGGCCACAUUGGGACUGAGACACGGCCCAAACUCCUACGGGAGGCUGCAGUAGGGAAUCUUCCACAAUGGGCGAAAGCCUGAUGGAGCAACGCCGCGUGUGUGAUGAAGGCUUUCGGGUCGUAAAGCACUGUUGUAUGGGAAGAACAGCUAGAAUAGGAAAUGAUUUUAGUUUGACGGUACCAUACCAGAAAGGGACGGCUAAAUACGUGCCAGCAGCCGCGGUAAUACGUAUGUCCCGAGCGUUAUCCGGAUUUAUUGGGCGUAAAGCGAGCGCAGACGGUUUAUUAAGUCUGAUGUGAAAGCCCGGAGCUCAACUCCGGAAUGGCAUUGGAAACUGGUUA
rnacentral:rRNA from 1 species